rnacentral:lncRNA from 1 species
CAAUUAAUUAUAAAUAAUAAAUUAAUAAUAAUAAUUAUCUAAUUAUUAAUAAUUAAUUAUAAAUAAUAAAUUAUUUAAUUAUUUAAUUAUUAAAGUAAUAAAUAAUGAUUUAAAUAUAUUAAUUAGAUUAAUUAAUAAUUUACUGUCAUUAAAAUUAAAUUUAAAUUUUAAUUAAUCUUGUUCUCAUCAAGGAACAAGCUAGUUCCAUGAAACGGGUGGAACAACAAUUCCAGCCUUAUACCAGCUUGUUCCAGAAACUCAGGAACUACUGUUCCCGGAAACCAAACAUACCGUUUGGGAACAAAGGGGGGGAACAAGAGCUUAUUCCCCCCUUGUUCCCAAACCAAACGCUACCUAAGUAUCUUUCCGGAGUACCCCUGCAUGGGUUGGGUAUUUGGAUAUUUUGGUUUUGUUUGAUUUGGAUAUAAAUAAAAACUAACUUAUAUCAUGGAUAGAUACUAAAUUUAGAUAUAAAUUAGAACUAGACUAAUUUUAUAUUUAAAUAAAAAUUUAAUUGUUCAUUUAAUUUUAAAUAUCAAAUUUUAAAUUUAAUAGUAAAUUUAAAUUUAAAAGAUAUAAAAUAUUAAAUUUAAAACUUAAAAAUAUUAAAUUUAAAUUUUAAAAAAUUAAAUUAAAUUUUAAUUUAAAAUAAAAUU